rnacentral:lncRNA from 1 species
AAUGGGAGAUCCUUAUGGAUUUGGAGAAGUGUGUCCAGUGCAUUCUAUAAUGUUUUGCCUUUAGGGAGUCAGAGAAUGGGGGGAGGGGGGUGCUGCUGUCACAGUAAUUACUUUUGAGGUUUGCAGGAUACUCUCACUGACCUCCCCACUCUUUCCAGCAUCCUGCUUUCCUCAGGGAACAUCCCCCCUCAUAGCUAUCUGCAAGGUUAGGAAACAAGCUUUUUCAGCAAAUAAUAUGUGGCUUCCAUGUGGAUGCCCUGUUAUGAAUAUUGAAAAACCUGAGGCUGUAACAAUUGUUUUUUGUCUUAUUUAUCUAUUGUCUAGCCUGGAUUGAAUACUUAGUUGUGUGAAUCUAGCCCUUGAUAUUUUCUGUGAAAGCAGCUGGGCAUCCAAUGAGUUCCUGCUUCUCACCACAGUCCUCCCAAAUCAUCUUGGCUUUUCUCCAGCUCUCUGCUCCAUGUAGGAGACUCAAAGCCCUGCCUAAGUCAGAUUCUCCUGAACACACUUAAGAAUCAACAAAGGAAUUUUGUUUGAAUCCAGGCUACAGGACAUGAAAUAAGUGUUCCUAAAAGAACGUUCUCUUCCUUCUUGGUUCAAUGCAUCCUGCACUUUAACUCAAGUCUCUGGUUCCAGAAUUUGGCACUGCCUCUCACAGUGUUAAGCAUCUGGGCUUUUAGGCUUUUCAGAAUGCUGUAUACUUUAGGAAGGUCAGCACUUUGUAACAAUUUUCCAAAGAAAACAGUCUUUGUUGCCAUAACCUUCUUGUAUAACCAAGUUCACAGAGCCUGGAAGCAUUUUGUAAUUGUAUUGAAACAGCAAAAACUGCCCUGGGGGACCACCCAAGGGACAGGGAUAAAUUGGUUGCCUCCAUUAAGUGAUCUUUAAGCAUCAAAUUUUAGUAGAAAUGUUGGGGAGUAAGUGAUCACUUAAAAAAGAGGUUGCCUGAGGUCUGAGAGUGCAAGUUGGCCUAUAGUUAAUAACUGCAAGGUCAUUGCAUGAAAUCAGUAAGAGGAAGCAGAGAGGAGCGGGUAUCUUAUUUCCAUACUGUGGUCUGAUGGUUUGUGAUGUCAGCAGACCUUCAAAAUGGAAUGAUUGCCUUUAAAAUAUCAUAUCAUCUUGUUAACGAGAAAGGAGAUCAAAGAAUUUACUCCAAUAUCCAGUCAUGACACUAUAAUUUAAAAGUGCUUUGCAAUGAUUCCCAUCCCAGGGCUUCAAAUUCUUUUUCUUAAUUAAUUUCAUUCAUAGAAACUGCUCUAAGGGCCAGAGAUUUUUAUGGCUCUUUUGCAGAGAAGUCAGGUUACAUGCAAGGAAUUCUCAGUAAUGCAUGCUCAUAACAGAAGAGAUCAGUAGUGAAGAUUAUCCCAAAUAGUGGAUAAUCCAAAAAUCCUCGCUGUUGGCCUUUGGAAGGUAUGCAUUAUUUGUUGUUGUUUUUGCUGCUGCUGCUUCUGCUGGAGUUUUUGUCUGUUUGCUUGCUUACUUUUUUUUUCUGCCAUAAGACACCUAAUAGGACACUCACAGAAGGGACCACAGUGCCAAAUUGAAUGGUCGAGAAGGUGGCUCAAAAACACCUUGAAUGGCAACAGAAGGGAGCCCUGAUAUAAGGCCUGUGGUAGAUUGAAGGGAAACAAAUACACAUAAACCUCAAGUUUGUAUUGUCAGAAAGACAAUUUUUCCCACUGCUCCUCUACUACAGUAAUAACUUGGCUAUUAAUUUAUCUUAGGUAAAAUGAACAGGAAAUAAAAUUGAAAUGAAUAUGAACUUGCAUUGCAAAUUUGAAAUGCUGAAAUUAAAAAAAUUCCUAUGUAAGGAAAUUCUAUGUAAGGAAUAUAAUUCUAUAUAAGGUAAAAUUCUACAUAAGGUAUAUAGAAUUAGACAUUUGGGGCCGGGAAAAAUCUGGGAAUUGCUUUGGUUGAUAUUUUUAAGUGGGAUCAGCAGCCAAUUAGUUGGAAAUAGAGCAUGAAGUAAGAGAGUUUAAAUAUAUACUUGUUACUUGGUUCAAAGUAUCCCAAAGCUUGGUCAUAUGGAUCCUAAACAUAGUUCAUCUCUGUAUCACUCUUCCUAAAAUGGAAACACCAGAAAAUUUGCACUGAGUGUCUUUCACACUGAAAUUACUGUUAGAAUGAGGAUCUAGAACAAGAAUGUUCAUUCAUUCAUCCACUCAUCUUCCCAUUCAUUUAUUUGUCUUUUGUAUACAAAACACUGUUAGGCAGGUGAAAGAUACUUGUGGGAACAACGCAGAUUAUCCCUGAGCAUACAAACCACCUGGCAAUAUUAUCCCAUCAGUUACAGCAUGGAAAUGGCCUUUGCUAAAUCCAUUGGUCCAUAUUAUAUGAUACAGCUGGUGAAGAGAUAUAGUUGCAUAUUCCUAUGCUGCAUGAUAAGCGUAUGUCCAAAAACUUCCACUAGUCCAUAAACUGGAUGUGUACCUCUUAAAUUCAGUUGUUUAAUAAAUGAGGGCAGAAGAGCUAAACUACUUAUUGCUCUGUCAGCGUUAAAGAAAUAGGAAAUUUCAUUUAAAAAAUACCAAUAAAGUUAUAAAAUCAUUCCAUUGCUUUUCUAGGCUUAAUAAUCUGGGUAAAAAAUUUUGAAUCAAAUUACAAUUCCAGUUGCAAAAAUGUAAAGAAUUUACUUUAUGUACUUAACCUUUGCUAGCCACCCUCUCCAUGAUACAACAUCAAAGGAAUUCCUUUGGGGAAAAAGAAGAUAAUCAGGUUUGUUAGGGAAGAACUUUCAUAUGUCAUCACCAUUACUUACUGAACUAUAGUGAAGUAUCAUUUUGUAGGCAAGGAAGGAUCAAAAAAGAUAUGACAAAAACCCUCUUUAGCCAGGUUCUUAAAACUGAUCCAAACAAUGUUCGAUUUUUAUCUUCCAUGACAAAUCAGGUGUCAAGGUGAAUUUGGGUACCACUUCCAUUGAAUGAACGUCUCAAUUAGAUAACAACCAAACGAUAUGCUCAAGCUGCUGUAAUUUGACAAUAUAGAAAUAAAGGGCUUUAAUCUCUCUUAUUUUCUCCUACAAUCCUCCUCCAUUUCAGCAUUGGAGAAAGGAGGAAUCUUGUCACAAAUGCUUUUGAGAACAAAGCACCAGUUUUUAUUAGAGACUGAGAGUUUAGCUUAUUUAUACGUGCCUCAGUGUCAGGUAAACCAAUGUCUUUUUUUUUUUUUUUUUUUUUCUCUUUCAUUCUUGUAAAACUUUGAUGCUUACAAUAGAAUGCCAUCAUCAAACACAAAGAUUUCCACAGGUGCCACUCUAGCUGGAAUAGAACUUGAUCUCUGCCAGGAGAAGAAGCUUUUUGUAGAAGGUGGUAUCUAUUGUCUUUUCAGGACUGCGUGGUAAUUAUCUUACAAGUGUUAAAUAUAUAGCAUCUACAAAUAUACACAUUUUAUUUUGACUUAACUGCAAAGUACAGAUAGUUUCCACUUCUGUGUAAGAAUAACUUGGCUUUUAUUUUUAUAGUUUUCAAAGCACUGUCAACUGUUUUAUCUCUUUCAGUUAUCACAACAGUUCUGUGGUAAACUUAGGUACAUGUUU